AAAAGGGGGGGGGGGGGGGCUUUCUACUUGAAAUCCUGGUGACUGAAUUUUUAAACAAACUUUAACUGUAAGGCAAAAGAAAAGGCAGUGGUUUGUUUUACUGGUCACAUUACACACUUGUUCACUACUGACCACAGGAAAAGAAGUUAAGCUGGACUCCCCUGUAGACCUUUGUUGCUAUGUAUUGAAGUAAAGAUUUAUGCUUCAAAAAUUAUUCAAACUUCAAAAAAAAU